UACGUAGGGGGCUAGCGUUGUCCGGAAUCAUUGGGCGUAAAGAGCGUGUAGGCGGUCCGGUAAGUCCGCUGUGAAAGCCGGGGGCUCAACCCUCGAAUGCCGGUGGAUACUGUCGGGCUAGAGUACGGAAGAGGCGAGUGGAAUUCCUGGUGUAGCGGUGAAAUGCGCAGAUAUCAGGAGGAACGCCAAUGGCGAAGGCAGCUCGCUGGGACGUGACUGACGCUGAGACGCGAAAGCGUGGGGAGCAAACAGG
rnacentral:rRNA from 1 species